AGGGUUUGAUUCUGGCUCAGGAUGAACGCUGGCGGCGUGCUUAACACAUGCAAGUCGAACGAAGCGCUUAAGACGGAUUUCUUCGGAAUGAAGACUUUUGUGACUGAGUGGCGGACGGGUGAGUAACGCGUGGGUAACCUGCCUUAUACAGGGGGAUAGCAGUUGGAAACGACUGGUAAUACCGCAUAAGCGCACAGUAUCGCAUGAUAUAGUGUGAAAAACUCCGGUGGUAUAAGAUGGACCCGCGUCUGAUUAGCUAGUUGGUGAGGUAACGGCUCACCAAGGCGACGAUCAGUAGCCGACCUGAGAGGGUGACCGGCCACAUUGGGACUGAGACACGGCCCAG
rnacentral:rRNA from 1 species